CAGUCGAGAAUCUUCGGCAAUGGGCGCAAGCCUGACCGAGCGACGCCGCGUGGAGGAUGAAGGCCUUCGGGUUGUAAACUCCUGUCGAGGGGGAGGAAGGUCGGGCAACCGGCUUGACCGAUCCCUGGAGGAAGCACGGGCUAAGUUCGUGCCAGCAGCCGCGGUAAGACGAACCGUGCGAACGUUAUUCGGAAUCACUGGGCUUAAAGCGCGUGUAGGCGGAUGGGUACGUCGGUCGUUGAAAGCCCCCGGCUCAACCGGGGAAUGGGCGCCGAAACGACCCGUCUGGAGGGACGUAGGGGGACCUGGAACUUCCGGUGGAGCGGUGAAAUGCGUUGAGAUCGGAAGGAACGCCCGUGGCGAAAGCGAGGUCCUGGACGUCUACUGACGCUGAGACGCGAAAGCUAGGGGAGCGAACGGGAUUAGA
rnacentral:rRNA from 1 species